GAUUAGUUAACAAUGUUUCUUUCGUCUACAGGAUAAAUUUGGUGGCUUCCACGUAUGCAUCGCAAGCUGUUUCCUGCAAAAUUUCUGCAGACAGAAUGAAACAAGGCAAUUACAGACUCACAGUUGGCAGAAACUAACAACAACACUCGCGUGCACAUAUUACCCUUGAUUCGGGAAGGAUGACUGCAUAGACAGAAAAGAUUAAUUUCUUGGAGAUUCCUCAUGUUUUCCAUCCUUUUUUUUCGUCAAGGUUCAUUGCAUGCCUAGGCCUGAAACCGUAACCAGAAAAAAGAGGCAAAAAUUGGCCUGCAGUGUCAGAUUCGCUAUCUGUUAUGUAUUAAAGACUAGGAUAAGAAAAUGACUGACACUAGCUAAUCUCGUGCAAAUGCUGCAAUCAAGCACCAUGUUCACAAUAAAGUUGAAUAACUAAACACUUCAUGGAAAAGAAUUAGUGAUGCCAUCUUUUCCAAACCAUCACUGUGGCCGAAUAAGUGUAAUCAGAGAAUGGAAUAUCAUGUCAACUUCCUGAAACUGUUAUCCGUGCCAUUUUACCAAGGACAAAGUACAAUGUCUUAGGAUCUUUUUCAGGCAAGGGGAAGGUAAAACUACAGUUUUGUUUGCGAUUUUCGGUUAAAACCACAGUUGUCUGUUCAUAAAUCUGUUCUCCACAGCAAGCAGAGGUGAAAAAGUAAAGUAAAUGCCUGAUAAGUGGGUGCUAUGAUUGCUGUCUUCCUUAAGAUUAACCCUGUUCUUCAAUCCUCAGUGACCUUGAAAUCCAAUGCAGUUCACUAACCAAUGCAAUCUGCACUUUCGUAUCUGUCCUUAGGACAUGGAAUUCAUCAAAAUGGUCAGGUGAGUCAGGUAUAUCAACAUAGUAGCUAUUUGCCUUAACAAUAUGCUACAGAAGACAUAAACUACAUUUUUCUCACAGCAAAUUACAAAAACUACAUCACAUGUUUUUUAGUUUUAGUUCUCAGCUUGAGAAAGUAACUGGAAAUACCAUGAACAGCAAAUUGAUUUAAUUAUACUCUUCGAGUUAGAAAGAACGCAAAAACCAGUAUGAUUAACCAAAUAAGGACUCUAGUUUUAUUAUGCCAGAGAUUAAAGUUGAAAACAAUUACACGUAGAAAUAAAAUUAUCUUCCACUACUUGUGUGCUUUAUUGCUGAUUUUCAGAUACAAAUCUAUCCUUUAUUUAGUUUUAAGUUGAGAAAUAAGGCAAGAACAGCGGAUAGGAAACCAGAUGCAUAUUGCAUUACACAAAUGCGAGGAAAACAAGAAUAGUAUAUCUUAUCCGCAUCUGAUCUAUUUCUGUGAUGUAGCUACGUAGUUUAAUGAAGAAGAACAGAAAGAAGACGGUGGCCUUCUCGUGGUAUUGCUUAGAGAAUGGAGCUAUGGAAUUCACUAUAAACUAUCUAUUGCAAAAUAGAAAAGCAUAUCCAAAAAUUCUUGAGUUGAAAUAAAAAGGUUGUGCAAAAUUAACAUUGUAACUCAGCGGUUUUGAUGCAAUCUUUAUUUAUCUAUAAUCUUCAAGCAUGUCAAUCUUAACUGAUCUCCACACUUUUUAGCCUAAGUAAUAUUCUGCUCUUUGUUGAGCAAAGAGCACAAGUUCACAAGAAUCGUAGCAGGCAGAAUGCUUUAACAGAUCCUAAUUCCUAACUAUUUAUCUAUUAUGUUCAAGAAUAUCCAUUUUCAGUGAUCUCCACAUAGCCAAAGUAAAUAUUCUGCCCCACUCAAACCUAAAACCUUAAGGUACGACUGAGGCUUACCAGAAUCAUAUAUUAUAUUCCAACGUUGAGGAUGUGAAUGCCAACUGGUAAAAUCUACAGGGAGGUUUCAGAAGGGGUAAGAAGCUAUAAGGUUUCUCAAAGCGGAGGUGCUCAGUUGCUUGAUACUAUUGAGGCUUAGUUGCAGAAUUAUAACCAGCAAGAAACUAUGAGGGUUGUCAAAAGGAGGCCCAGUUACUAUUUUUGUGGCUUAGUUAGAAACUAUAGUGGUCUCAGAAGGAGUUAUUGUGGUCGAUUUAAUUAAGUGAUACAAAAUUUUUGUUGAUAUUGUAUUGAUUUAACAAAUUUUUAAUUGAAUACUAUGUUCUGUCCAGAUAAAUUAUCCUUUGAAGCAUUCUGAAGUGGGUUUGGUUCCUACACUAGAGAGGAACUGAAAAUAAAUUAC